CAUCUGGACCCAAGGGUUCCCAGAAAAUCGUUAGCGUCUGUUUCUGUCUGCUUUCUUCUGUACUGGCUUCCUAUUCAGGCUGACUCUCCCCAGCGUGGUGGCCUGGAGCCCUCACAGCUUGUACUUCAACUGGUUCAUAAGUUCUCAGUCUAAAAGCAGCUAUUGCUCACGAAUUCCAGCACAAGUCUGAGGCGCUUCCUGGUUUGCGGAGAAGGCCAUGUGAUUGUCCCUGGAGCGAUGGCCUGGGCUGGAAUGACAGACUGCUCUCACCGGCAGCACACAUGUUAUGUCCACCCCCAGGCCUGGGGAGGAUUCACCACGCGAUGACUCAGAGAAGAAAGCCUUCUUAUUUCAUCAGAGGUGUCUGGGCUUUCACAGCUGCAAGAACUGAAGUUUUGAGGAACUUUGAUUCUCAGCAGACAUAUUGAGUGUAAACUCAAGAGACUUGGAUGGACCACUUUCUAAACGCUCAGAUUGUCCCUCUCACUAAGUACAAUGUACGAGUUACAUGACUGGAGUUGUGAGUAUGAUUACAUGACUUGGGGAAAAAGGUAAAGGAAAAUUAGCCUGUUCCUGGUCCUAUAUCCCUCUCCCUUUUUUCCUCCACCUUUAUGAAUUAUUGAAAUUUUCACCAUGGCAUUGUUCAUUAAAACUUAAAUCACGUGAUAGAAGGGGCAACAUACCUAUUUGUCAGAGUAGGAAAUGGGUUUAAGGAAUAUAACUCUUCCUUUAUUUUUUUUCUCAUAGGGCAAUAGAAUGGGAGAUUAGAAGAAAUCUUUGAGAUCAUUUGGUAUAGCUAUUCUGUUUUCUAAAUGGAUAGAGCAACCACAUGGAGAUAUGCCUGGGACCGUUCAUGUUUAUACCAGUUGUUCCAGAAUAAUAAAUAAUGGUAGCUUCUUUCAUUAUCAAAAUGUCUUGGUUGGAUAAUAAAUUAUGUGAUCCUCCUAUUGAUCAGAAAGCAGAUUCUUAGAAGUGAAAAGAUUUUCUUUUGAAACUUGUUUUAUUAGUCACAAAUGGAUACUGUUGAUAACAGAUUUCCCUAACCCCUCUCCUAGGAAAAAAUCCAGUUGUAAGUAUAUUUAAAAUUUUGUCAAUUUUGAAAAUAUGAUGUGCAUUUGAGGUCUUGAUUAAUGAUACACCUGGGAAUCCACAAUUAAUAUUUAAUUGGUUUGAAAACAUAAAAUAGGGUGACCAAAUUUUUGAAGAAAAUUUAAACUAAACACUACAGGUGAAAUAAUUUCCAUACAUUACACAAAUAUUGCAGGUGGUGUCAUGGGAGCCAAACUUCAAGUCCCUUUAUUGUUUAUUAUUCUUUCUUUGUUGCUUUCCUUAACAAUACUACUGUAGGGUCUGGAAAAAU
rnacentral:lncRNA from 1 species